rnacentral:rRNA from 1 species
GAAACUGGGGCUAAUACCGGAUAGGAGCUCCUGCUGCAUGGUGGGGGUUGGAAAGUUUCGGCGGUUGGGGAUGGACUCGCGGCUUAUCAGCUUGUUGGUGGGGUAGUGGCUUACCAAGGCUUUGACGGGUAGCCGGCCUGAGAGGGUGACCGGCCACAUUGGGACUGAGAUACGGCCCAGACUCCUACGGGAGGCAGCAG